rnacentral:RNase_P_RNA from 1 species
CGAGUAAGCCAGACAAUCGCUGCUGUAGAAAUACAGGAGAGGAAAGUCCGAGCUCCAUAGGGCAAGGGUGCUGGCUAACUACCAGUGGAGGCGACUCUAAGGAAAGUGCAACAGAGAUAUACCGCUAAAGGUAUUUGAAAGUUCAGUUUUUCUGAACUUUCAAAUAUACUAGUAAGGAUGGAAAGGCGAGGUAAGAGCUCACCAGCGCAAUGGCGACUUUGCGGCUAUGUAAACCCCAUCUGGAGCAAGAUCGAAUAGGAAAGCAUUUUGGGACUGCCCGUCCCGCUUUCGGGUGUAUCGCUUGAGCCUAUUGGAAACAAUAGGCCUAGAUAGAUGAUUGUCUAAUACAGAACUCGGCUUAUAGACUUACUCGCACA